ensembl:lncRNA
GAUUUUGUUCCAAUUAUGUUUAUUGUUCAGACUAAUUACUGCACAAGACGGGGUACUUUUCCCCAUGUCUAAAUGGCACACGCUUCCCAAGUAUACCCUUGCAGGUUUUUCUUUUCCAGGUACAGGCUUGGGACGGCUUUCUGCAGCCUCCGCUCUCCCCACACCCCCCUCCCCAUUAUAAUUAAAUGCUCCAGCCUUUUCUUCUCUCCCCCAUGCAACACCUUGUGAUGUGAGAAAGUGAUGGCAGCUUUCUUCCCUCGGAGCUCGAAGUAAUUGUAGAAGGGCUGAUGAAUUUCUUGAAGAAACACUUGCCACACACUGAGGAAACCAUCUCCUAGCAGGAUUUUACAAACCAAAGUAAACAAAGCACCCCAGGGGCGAUUUCCUCCUUUUGCGCAGCGUACUUCUCAAUUUACCUCAGAAGGGAUCACAAUCACACACAAGAGUUACAACAGAAAUCAUACUUGGUUUGGGAAACAUAUUCUGUACAAGAAGCAGAGAAAUUGAAAGUGUUCAAAGGAAGGGACAGUCAUUAAAAUACCUGCCAGGCGCGCUGCCAUUCCCUUAACUAACCUUCCUUCUUUCCCGUGAACUCAGAAAUAUCUUCAGCAUCUAUUUAAACACAGAUAUCCCGGGGGGAAUGGGGGAGGGGGGGUGGGGGGGGGAGUUGUGGGAAGAGGGAAGGGGAAAGAAACCAACCCACAUACCCCUCAGGUCCAUCUCACCAACACCUUUAAACACCCUCAUCCUCGGAAAAGGGGUGGGAAAUAAAGUUACUUGCCUAAUUUCACUCUUUGUUCUAUCGAAGAGAGUUUAUUGUGUAAAUGGACUUAUUUAUUUAUUCUUGAGUUUCUCUAUCCCUCAGCUGGGCUCUUGGAGAAAAUUUGCCUGAGAUCAUGUCAAUAAAAAAAUCACUUCUUACAGUUAAAGGGAAUAAUCACAUCGAUCAGACCCGGAUAAAAUAGGGGCGGGGGGCAUCAAAUGCCCAACACUGCUUACAGUUUGCUUUUUUCCUUUGGGUUCCAAACCGUUAGGAAAGGAUCACACACAUAUUUAUUGCUCCUUUUGUCUCCUUCUUUCUAGCAGGAUUCAAACCCCUGCGCGUGUGUGCGUGGUUCGGGGGGCUGUUGCUCUCUUUGGGAAGGGUGCGGCAUUCACAGGUGUGCUUUGGCUCCUCACUGUAACCCUGUACAAUUUCUCAAUUCUUCUGGAUGGUUUAAUCUAGGUGUGAGAGUAGAAAAGUGUUUAAAUUCUACUGGGGAAAUAAGCGGGGCCGGGGGAGGGAGGGGGAAGGGGGGAGGAAUUCCCUCUUUUGGCGAGUCAGAAAUAGCCCAAGCUUUCCAAACGGAUGUUAAAAUUGGACAUAAUGGAGCAACACCUCCUUUUUUUUUUUCUCCUUUCCUUUUUCUUUUUUCCCCCCCCUCUUCAGGUAUGAGUCUUGAAUCCUUUCAUUAAACUGACACAGAUUUCCAGAGAUGGAGAAAAGGAGGGGUAUCUGAGGUGGACAUUUUAUGUAAAUGAGCAAAUCCGAAAUGUAUUACAAAUCCACUGUAAUAAAACUGACAGUUUUGACAGUAUUGACAACAUAAAUAUAUGUUGGAACACAGCACUUUCAGACACUUAACCGAUGAAGCAAUAAAAAGAUUCGACUACAAUAUUUCAAAUAAUCGACAUUGAUGUUUUGAUACAUCAUUUUUAUACCUCGAAUCGAUCUAUCACUCUAUGACCGGUCAAUUUUAAGUAAAAAUCUGCUGCAAUUAUUUACGCUAUUGCCAAUGACGACCUAAUAACUGUUUUCAAUUAAUUACAGCAAAACUAAGCAUUAUGAGGGCUAACCGGCCACAUAUCCCAUUGUAUAGCAUUUCUUGUAUGGAGAGCAAACACAUAUAUGUGUAUUGCAUUCUCUUUGUGGGAUCAAAAGAAAGACAUACAAAGAAGAUCACAAUCUUGAGGGGGGUGGUAGUGGAAAUAAAAAGCAACCUCUUUUCGGGAACACACCGCCGGCUCUCACCAUGUACUUCUAGGAAACACGCUAUAAUAUUUUGUCAGCUCUCUCUCUGUGCAAUACCAAACCGGGCUCUCAGGAUUUUUUUUUUUUCCUUUUCUCUUUGGGCUCUGCACUGAAUCCCAAUUCAAACAAUGGGCCGAGCAGUACUUGGGGUAAAAAAAAAAAAAAAAAAAAAAAAAAA